GUCAGUUGCUUGCUUGUUUGCAUGUGCUGUUUGCUUUCAGUCGCAAUAUUGCAGCAAGCAAAGCAACAUGUGGGAUCGCGAGAAAACGAUAAAAUUAAUUGAAUUUUACGAGAAUCAUUCUGUUUUAUGGGAUGCCUCGUCAGUAGACUAUAAAAAUAAGCAUAAAAAGCAAAAUGCUUAUCGUGAAAUUGCUGAAAAAUUAGACAAAAGUAAAGAUGAAAUAAAAACAAAAAUUCAUCAUUUGCGCACUCAAUUUUUGCAAGAGGUGCGCAGAGUGAAGCAAAAAAAGUGUGGCCAGGGUACAUCGGACAACUAUACCAGUAAAUGGGAGUUUUUCGAUGCACUUAAAUUCAUUCAAAAUGACGACGGAAAUAAUUAUGAAAUUCAAAAAUUGAUGACAGAUGACGUACCAAGUACAUCCAAAACAAAAAAAAGAAAACGUUAUGUGAUAGAAUUUAAGGACGAAGAUCAGCAUUUUAAAAAGGCAAGCACUUUACUCGAUAAACCAGCGGAUGAUCAUCAGGUGUUCGGUGAUUUCGUUGCAUCUGAGCUCAGAUUGUUGAAAUCACAUCAAAAUAGACUUCUGCUUCGCAGAAAAAUUCAAAGAGCUAUUUUGGAAGUAUCGGAAAUUGAUAGCGAGGACACUUUUACUUGAUCCACGCCUAAUAUCGUGUACUCAUCUACCAACUCUCCAGUUCUUGCCUUUUCCGACGGAAUGCGACAAAGAA